AUAUCAGUCAUGCAUAGCAUAUCAAUAAGCGGAGGAAAAGAAACUAACAAGGAUUCCCUUAGUAACGGCGAGUGAAGCGGGAAGAGCUCAAAUUUGAAAUCUUCAAGGUUCUACCUUGACGAAUUGUAGUUUAUAGAAGUGUUUUCUGUUGGAGUUUCGGUAAAAGUUCUUUGGAAUAGGACAUCAUAGAGGGUGAGAAUCCCGUAUUUGACCGUUACUUUCCAGCUGUGUGAUACACUUUCAAAGAGUCGGAUUGUUUGGGAAUGCAGUCCAAAAUGGGUGGUAAAUUUCAUCUAAAGCUAAAUAUUGGCGAGAGACCGAUAGCGAACAAGUACCGUGAGGGAAAGAUGAAAAGAACUUUGAAAAGAGAGUUAAACAGUACGUGAAAUUGUCAAAAGGGAAGCGUUUGACACCAGUGUUGUUUAGUUGAAAAUCAAUUCAAUAAUUUUUGAUUUUGAGUAGUAUUGACUUCAUCAGCUUGCUGCUUUCUUUUCAGGAAAUUAUUGAAUGCACUUUUCAGUUAACAAGUCAACAUCAAUUUCUUUUGUUGUAAAAGGGUAAGAGGAAGGUGGCUUACGCUUCGGCGUAAGUGUUUAUAGCCUUUUACCUCUGCAAUCGGAGAGAUUGAGGACAGCAGCGUAGACUCUUCGGGGUUAGAUACACUUGUGCUAAGCUAUAGCCUUGUAUAGACAACUUGUUGACUAUGCUCAGUCAUGUAGCUUACUCGCUUAUGCUAUUUUACCUACGCUUAGGAUGUUGAUGUGAUACUGCGAGCA
rnacentral:rRNA from 1 species